GGUGAAUAUCACAGUGUCAAGCCAAGUCAGAUAAGUGAAGAAACAUUACACCACUUCAAACAGUAAUAAAGUCAAAAGAUCUGAAAUUUAACAGGCUGGCAACUGCAGGACAUGUGUAGUCUGUGAAGCAUCAGAUAGAUUGUGAACCUGGAUUACCCACUCAGUGGGGAAACAGGGGAGGGUCCUGUCAUCAAAAGGUAUAUAAACUGUAUAUUUUGAAGCUAGUAGAGGCGCUCCUGCUUGUGGGGCGCCCGCCAUUGCAACAGUGAAUAAAUUACUACUUCACUGAGACCCUCACCUGAGCAUAAGUUAUUGGCUACAGAGUGUUUCUCACAACCUGGGGGCUUGUCCCGGAUCCAGUCACCUGCCGGGGAGCCCCACCGCCGCAGCAGCAGGAAGGCAUGCCCCACUGAUUUCAGCGGUUCUGUGCAUCCACAGUGGUGGUUCUGCGGAGAGCUGACAGAGGGCCCAGGGCCCGAGACCGGUUACAGAGGCAGGAUCCUUGAAGUAGUGGGGAAGGGAAGAAGGUAGGCACUCCAGGUUUAAGAACUGAUCCGGUAACUCUGUGCACAGACCAAGGUAAGAAAUAUUAAGUAUUGCCUUGGGGGUCAGCUGAGACUCCCAGUGUGAUGUGUGAGUGAGAUGUAUUUCUGGGGAGUCCUGAUCCGUGGAGUCUGGUUCUGUGGCUCAGCAGAGAGGUUAGGAGUUUUAAGACGGAGAGGAAGUCUUUAAUUGAGGACCCCAACAGCCUAGCUGAACAAUUAGACCAGUUUCUAGGGCCUGACUUAUACUCUUUGGGGGGGGCAUUAUGCCUAUAAGUAUGUUGUUUUAAGGGAAAAAAAUGGGAAUGAUCAGGAGUAGAGCUGCUAUACAAGAAUGGGAAAGAGUUCAUCCCCCAGGACCAGGGGUCAUACCGGCACGGCAGAAAUACCCACUUGCCAUCCUGGCUGGAAUAAAUAAUAGUGUGCAACACAGAAAUCAUAUGAGAGACUUGGGGUCAGAAUGAGAAAGUACUCGGGGGUGAGUCCUAAGGACCUGGUAUCCCAAGGGCACUUGGAAGUUCACUGUGUGAUUAAAGCCUGGCAAGAUACACAGAAAAUGCUCCAGAAGGUGGGGGGAUGUUGUGAACAGUCACUGGGGGCUCUCCUGAGGCAGGCCCUGAAGGUGUGUGCCAGGAGGGGAGAUGAGAAGGAAAAGCAGAGAGCAACACUACUGGUAGUGACAGUGCAGUGGGGCAGAGUGUGGAGAAAGAGGAAGAAAAUCUUCAGGGGGAGUCAGGGCCAGGGUGGAAAGGAGAGGGAGAGAGAUGAAAGAAUGGCAGGCAAGGAAGGCUGCCUGUGCUGCUGCCUGAAUCCUAGCAGGGACAGGCUUUGAUGUUUUGUGUGGCCAGGCUGGCCACUUCAAAUAGGAAUAUCCUGAGUGUAAGAAGGAGGAAAGAAGGAAAAUGGGAUUAAAUACGGUAUACUGGUAUGUUGUUUCUGCAUCCUGGAGGGAGAAAGGUAUGGAAUUGAGUUGGCCAAUGACUGAGCCUUUGGUGAAAGUACAGGCUGGAGGAAGAUAGAAGUGUUAAAAAGGGUUACUGAAGGUGUUAAAGGUGUGGUAUGUAGUGUCUGACAGAGCUGUCUGAAGUUGAGUGAGCAGGGAAAGAGGAUGCAGGCAUUAUCUAAGUAACAGUCUGGAAGUUUUGGUGUCUGCUGUGGUGUUUGGUCAGUUUCCCAAGUAUCAGGAAGGGGUGGGGUGGGGGGACAUCCUGCUCCACCAGGGGCCUCUCCAGCGGCCGCAGGGGGGCUUUGGCUCCGGCGCCUGGAGCGCCUCCUCCCCAUCCUGCGCUGACUGUGGUGUCUGCGGGGAGGUUUCUGGCUCCUGGCUCUCCCAGCUGCUGUUGAGCAACAGGACCCAUGGGCUGUUGGCUCAAACCCCACAAACCCCAUUCACCACCACCACCCAGGAAGUUGGGUCCUGAUUCGGAUCUGGAAAGAAUCAACUCUGGCCUGAGUGGGAAGGACCAUUACUGACCACUGAAACAGCUGUAAGAACUGUGGAAAAAGGUUGGACUCACUAUACUCAAGUGAAGGCAUCCGUCGACCCUAAUACCUGGGAAGCUGUUCCUACAGAAGACUUGUUGGAAGUUGAAAUCAAAGAGAAAAAUCUCAUAGUGGACUCUGAGCGGGAUAAAAGCUUACAAUUGUAAUCUAACCUUUUAUUUUCACAGGUAACUAAUGAGUGUGGCCUGCGAGUGAGAGAAAGGACUGGCCUAUAGCAAAUCGAAGUGCUCCCAAGGGGCUUUUGCUCUAGUAGUACAUAUAUCUUAUUCUUUGUAUUGAUAAUUAUUUGGAAACAUGCAGGUUAAAAAUAA